ACGAACGCUGGCGGCGUGCCUAACACAUGCAAGUCGAGCGGAGAAGGCAUUUAUGUCUUUUCAGCGGCGGACGGGUGAGUAACACGUGGGUAACCUGCCUCGAAAUGGGGGAUAGCCUUCCGAAAGGGAGAUUAAUACCGCAUAACCUCGGAUCUCCGCAUGGAGGACCGAGAAAAGGAGAAAUCCGUUUCGAGAUGGACCCGCGGCGCAUUAGCUAGUUGGUGAGGUAACGGCCCACCAAGGCGACGAUGCGUAGCCGACCUGAGAGGGUGAUCGGCCACAUUGGAACUGAGACACGGUCCAGACUCCUACGGGAGGCAGCAGUGGGGAAUAUUGCACAAUGGGCGAAAGCCUGAUGCAGCAACGCCGCGUGAGUGAUGAAG
rnacentral:rRNA from 1 species